rnacentral:rRNA from 1 species
AGGACGAACGCUGGCGGCGUGCCUAAUACAUGCAAGUCGAGCGGACCUUUCAAAAGCUUGCUUUUGGAAGAUCAGCGGCGGACGGGUGAGUAACACGUGGGCAACCUGCCUGUGAGACUGGGAUAACUUCGGGAAACCGGAGCUAAUACCGGAUAAUAUAAGGAACCUCCUGGUUCUUUAUUGAAAGAUGGUUUCGGCUAUCACUCACAGAUGGGCCCGCGGCGCAUUAGCUAGUUGGUGAGGUAACGGCUCACCAAGGCGACGAUGCGUAGCCGACCUGAGAGGGUGAUCGGCCACACUGGGACUGAGACACGGCCCAGACUCCUACGGGAGGCAGCAGUAGGGAAUCUUCCACAAUGGACGAAAGUCUGAUGGAGCAACGCCGCGUGAGCGAUGAAGGCCUUCGGGUCGUAAAGCUCUGUUGUUAGGGAAGAACAAGUGCGAGAGUAACUGCUCGCACCUUGACGGUACCUAACCAGAAAGCCACGGCUAACUACGUGCCAGCAGCCGCGGUAAUACGUAGGUGGCAAGCGUUGUCCGGAAUUAUUGGGCGUAAAGCGCGCGCAGGUGGUCCUUUAAGUCUGAUGUGAAAGCCCACGGCUCAACCGUGGAGGGUCAUUGGAAACUGGGGGACUUGAGUGCAGAAGAGGAAAGUGGAAUUCCAAGUGUAGCGGUGAAAUGCGUAGAGAUUUGGAGGAACACCAGUGGCGAAGGCGACUUUCUGGUCUGUAACUGACACUGAGGCGCGAAAGCGUGGGGAGCAAACAGGAUUAGAUACCCUGGUAGUCCACGCCGUAAACGAUGAGUGCUAAGUGUUAGAGGGUUUCCGCCCUUUAGUGCUGCAGCUAACGCAUUAAGCA